rnacentral:lncRNA from 1 species
AGAUGCCUCUGCAUACAAUCCAGAUUCUGCAGGUGCUUCUAAGAUAGGGUUCACGUUAACAGCAGAUGAAUUGUCAAUGGGGGGCCAUUCAUCACUUGGGGAACUACGCUGGUUUGUGGUGAUAUCAGGCUCGUAAGUGACAUCGGACACCUUGGAAGCAUGACCAUGUGGUGAACGUAAGUUGGGAUGUACUUCUGCAGAAUGAGGUACUGCAAGAUGCCGAUUAUUAACACUUUGGUGAGGUGGGUUUGGUAUGACAGAAGCCUUGUUUUGUGGUCUGCCCAUCUUCACAAUAUCAGCCAUUGAUACUUGACCUGGAGCCCCCAACCAAG